rnacentral:rRNA from 1 species
GACGAACGCUGGCGGCGUGCCUAAUACAUGCAAGUCGAGGGGCAGCAGGGAUAGCAAUAUUCGCUGGCGACCGGCGCACGGGUGCGUAACACGUAUACAAUCUGCCUUUUACAGGGGGAUAGCCUUUCGAAAGAGAGAUUAAUACCCCAUAAUAGUUGACCGGGCAUCUGGUUGAUUUGAAAGCUCCGGCGGUAAGAGAUGAGUAUGCGCCUGAUUAGCUAGUAGGUGAGGUAACGGCUCACCUAGGCUACGAUCAGUAGGGGAUCUGAGAGGACUAACCCCCACACGGAUACUGAGACACGGAUCCGACUCCUACGGGAGGCAGCAGUAAGGAAUAUUGGACAAUGCCCGCAAGGGUGAUCCAGCCAUGCCGCGUGCAGGAAGAAGGCCCUAUGGGUCGUAAACUGCUUUUACACCGGAGAAAACCUCCCUCGUGAGGGGAGCUGAUAGUAUGGUGAGAAUAAGCAUCGGCUAACUUCGUGCCAGCAG